AGCUCUAAUAGCGUAUAUUUAAGUUGUUGCAGUUAAAAAGCUCGUAGUUGGAUUUUGGGUUGGCGCGACCGGUCCGCCGUUGCGGUGUGCACUGGUCGCGGCUUCCUUCUUGCCGAGGAAGCCGUCUGGCCUUGAUUGGCUGGGCGGGGGAGUCGGCGUGGUUACUUUGAGUAAAUUAGAGUGUUCAAAGCAAGCUUGUGCUCUGAAUACGUUAGCAUGGAAUAACAUGAUAGGACUCGGGUUCUAUUUUGUUGGUUUUCGGAACCGGAGUAAUGAUUAAUAGGGACAGUUGGGGGCAUCCGUAUUUCAUUGUCAGAGGUGAAAUUCUUGGAUUUAUGAAAGACGAACUUCUGCGAAAGCAUUUGCCAAAGAUGUUUUCAUUAAUCAAGAACGAAAGUAG
rnacentral:rRNA from 1 species